rnacentral:misc_RNA from 1 species
GUGAAUCAUCGAAUUUUUGAACGCAAAUUGCACUCUCUUCGGAGAGUAUGACUGUUUGAGGGUCAGCCUAAAAAAAAUCGACAUAGUCGCUGUUUCGCGGUGACACUCGCCGGAAAUUGGGCAAUCUUAAACCUUUGGGUUUUAAGCGGCAUAAAAUUUUCUUUACGAUUCUAUGAACGUUUCUAAGAUUUACUUAUACGUUUAAGUUAUGGAUUUUUAUUAGACGUGGCCGUUACA